UCAGGAUGAACGCUAGCUACAGGCUUAACACAUGCAAGUCGAGGGGCAGCAUUAGAUUAGCUUGCUAAUUAGAUGGCGACCGGCGCACGGGUGAGUAACGCGUAUCCAACCUUCCCCCUGCUCAGGGAUAGCCCGGUGAAAACCGGAUUAAGACCUGAUAGUUUCACUAGAUGGCAUCUGACGGUGAAUAAAGGUUUCGGCAAGGGAUGGGGAUGCGUCUGAUUAGCUUGUUGGCGGGGUAACGGCCCACCAAGGCGACGAUCAGUAGGGGUUCUGAGAGGAAGGUCCCCCACAUUGGGACUGAGACACGGUCCAAACUCCUACGGGAGGCAGCAGUGAGGAAUAUUGGUCAAUGGGCGGAAGCCUGAACCAGCCAAGUAGCGUGCCAGGAUGACGGCCCUAUGGGUUGUAAACUGCUUUUGUAUGGGAAUAAAGUCAGGGACGCGUCCCUGUUUGCAUGUACCAUAAGAAUAAGGACCGGCUAAUUCCGUGCCAGCAGCGGC
rnacentral:rRNA from 1 species